GCACAACUCGAUAAAAGGGGUACGAAUGUUUCCUCUUUCUGUCUCCAUCCCUCCCCUCUUCUCACUCUCUCUCUCUCUCUCUCUCUCUCUCUUUCUCUCUCUCUCUCUCGAUUCUAACGAAACGUGACGAUGGCGGAUAGUCCAACGGGAAAUCUUGGAAGUGGGGAUAAAAUCUUUCGUAGUACCCUCCCAGAUGGAAAGAGGAGGACCACCACCACCCUCUCCCCUCUUCUAUCACUCUAUAGCAUAUAGAAUCUCUAUAUAGCAUAAGUUAGACAAGGAUAGAAAGAAUCGGAACUAUUACAUUUGGAUUUCUCUAUCGUUGAAAUUUGACGUUUUAUAAAGGGCCAGAUACGUUACGAUUCGAUUGUGUAUAGUAACACCUUAUGGAACACGGAGCUAGCUAGCACACAUUCUCUCUCCCAUAAAUCAAGAUCGGGUUUGAUGGCUGGGAGACACGGGAAGCCGUAGAAGCAAAAAACGCCGACAGAUUCUUCGUUAGAUCAGUCAGAGCCAUCAAAACCGAUCGACCGACGUUAUCAAUGACAGACGAAGUGCCUGGCCAUGUUCCCUGGCAAAUCAAACAACGAAUCGACCGAUAUGGGAUAUCAUCAAAGGAUUUCGGCCGGCUCUUUGUCAACCUAUACAGUGAUAAUACUGAAAUCUCGUGCGUACAAACA